AAUGCGGUGGACGUCCCCCGGACGACACGUGCUUAGUGUGGUGACGUCUAAACAAAUUGUUAGUUUCGUUUUUAGACGUCUAUAAUACUAUAUUUAACAAUAAUAAUAAAAAUUUAUAAUUAUAGAUGUAUUAUCUUUUAUUCACUAGUUUUUUAAAAUUAUACUAUCUGUAAAAAGAGAUAUUUAUACAAUGAGUAUACACAUUUUAUCACAAUGGCUAACUUUGUAUACACUAGUUAAGGGAAAUAAAGUAUGGAUUAAUUCAUUUAACAAAGUUAAUUUUUGCUCGCCUGCAAACUUACCAAAUAAAAAUAUAAUUCUUCAAUGUGAUGUCGGUACGAGUGGUUUUUCAGGAAACACUUUUGAGAUAAAUUUUAAUUAUUAUUUUAAUGGGUCUAUCAAACGCUUUCAAGAAGAAAAAAAUUUUUUGAAUGAAACAAGGAUAUUAUGGAGCGGAGUUAAAAAAUCAUAUUAUAAACUACAACGUAAUUUGACUAUAUAUAAUGUUUCAAAGAGUGAUAUAAAUGUUUAUUUUUGUUCUGUGUAUGGUGUAUAUGGUAAUGAUACAUUGUUAGCGAGAGAGAAUUUUACUUUAUCAAACAUUGAAAGCAAUACGCAAUGCAACACCACAAUCAGAUCUAUUAUGGCAAAUGAUAAUGUCAAGAUAAUAAUAGUGGUUACAACUUCUUUUGUCAUGUUGAUAUUAUUGAUUGCUAUUAUUUUGCUUUUAAAGAAAAUGAAAAAAAGAAAAUUUAGAAAGAAAGGCACUGAGAAAUCAUACCGUCAUUUGCUAACAUACUUUGUGUUGCACUUUGAUCAGAACAUUGAUAUUGUUAAGAGGUCAAGACUUAGGAACAUUUUAGCACAUCUUAAAUUGCUCUGGAAUACAUGUAAAUGCAUGGAAUCUUUAUUUAUUAAGAAAAAUGUUAAUGGCUUGAUAAUAAAAUUUAAUUUAAAUGAUUUUACUGCAGUCAAAAUAGCCGUACCGAAUGCGUAUUUUCUAUCUUCUAGCACUGGUCGACCACUAAUUACUAAUUUUUACAAAUGUUGUUCAAGAACUAAUUAUCGACGUCUUACCAAACUUGACAGAAAGCAUCUAAGGCUCUACAUUCUUAUCUAAAUGUAUUUUGUUGAUUGCUCUAGCCUUUUUUAUUUUUCUUUGUUUAAUAAAACUUUUGAAGCAAUUGAUAACUUAUUUGACGACUGACAUUUUUGAAGUUUGCUUUCACAACAUAAAAAUUUAACACGUCGAUGCUUAGUUCUUGAAGAACACUCUUUAAAGUCAGUAGUUGGUGAUCGACCAGUGUUUGCGAAUACGUCGAUAUUUAAAGAAAUCCGAAACCAUUUACUUUAUAUUGGCAACCUUAAAGAACUUUAAUUUGAAAAAGAAACAACUGAUUUAUUAAUCAUUGAAGAAACUACUUUGAAAGAUGAGAUCUUUUAUCUUGUAUAACCUUGUGUUGAGUUACAAUUCUAUUUCAGUCAAACAUAUCGUUCAAGUUAAAAUGAUAGAUAGCAAAGUCCAUUCUGUCUUAUCGAAUGUAACAAGGUCUAUUCAAUUUUGCUGUAUGUGUGGAUGUUUACCUAAAGACAUGAACAACAUCGAUAAAGUUACGAAACUUCCCUAUUUACUGGAUGUGCUUCAAUGAGGAUUUACUACACUUUUCAUGUAUUACCUUUUCAUAUUCAUGGAUAAGAUUUUUUGAUAUUUUUCAUAUAAGAUACCAAUCGAAAAAACACAAGCAAGAGGAGACACAGAGAAAGCUCAUGUUAAAGAACAAAAAAUAAAUAUUGUAAAAAAAAAAUUCCAACAAAAAAUGGGACUUAUUUUUGACUAGUCAAAAUGUGGAGUAUCUGGAAAUUCAAACGACGGCAAUAUUGCUCGAAAAGCCUUUUCAAAUGAAUAUAAAUUUACCGAAAUUACAGAAAUAAACAAAGAACUAUUUGUAAAGUUGCACAUAAUCUUAAUGUGUAUAUCAAGUGGAUUUCAAUUAGAUAGGGGAGGAUGGGUAGAAGUGAGCCAAAGGUAGGAGUGAACCGUUGAUCCUACAGCUAAAACAGGAAAUGAAAAAGACUCAAAGUUUUCACCAAGUAAUUGCAUACAAAUUAUUGUUAACACAAUCCAAUUUUUUUACCGCUUCUUGGUGUGGGUGUCUGCGUUAACGUUGUCAUCCACUCUUUUCUGUGCAAAAGUAAAUUUUUUGUAUUUUAUGAAACAUAUUUAAUGAGUAUUCCGGUUGUUUCGAGACAUUAGAUAAUGGUUGAAAAUUUACUAAUAAAAAAUAUAGUUUUUAGAAUAAAGUAUUUUACAUGCAUAAACCACGUACUUAUUGGACAUUUAAUGUUUUAAUCCAGUUGCACAGCUUAGGGAAGAAUCAGCCAUUCCUUCACGGGUAGGAGUGAACCGCGGCUAACUAAUACUUCACGUUAAAAAAGUUUUGACUUCAGCGUAAAAACAUAUUUACGUUUGACUUUAAUAUCUUAGUAUAUCAUUAGAAAACUCGUGUGCAACAUUACAUUUAUUUUUACCACAUGUUAUAGUGCCUCGAAUCUAUAAAGGAACAACUUGGAAAGCAAAAACCUCCAGUAAAAAUAUGAAGGAUGCAUUACAUUUAAUUAAAAAAGGAAAAAGUAUUAGAGAAACUGCAAUAACUUCCAAAAUACCCUAUCCAACGCUUCGUCGUUAUUGGAAAAUAUUUUCGCUUGAUGAAAAUGCAAGACUUACCCCGAAUUAUUAUGUUAAAAGUAUGUUUACAGACAAGCAGGAAUUAGAAUUAAAGGAAUAUAUUUUGACUUGUUCAAGAAUGUUCUAUGGCUUUCCAAUUAAAAAAUGUCAGUGUAUAGCUUUUGAGAUGGCAACCAUUAAUAAAGUUAGUAUUCCACAGAAGUGGCACAAAGAUUCAAUGGCAGGUAUAGAUUGGAUGAAUAAUUUUAGAAAGCGACAUUCAGAUUUGAAAACCUGAAGGAUGUUCUCUCUCAAGGGCAACAUCAUUUAAUGCCCAUAAUGUAAAUAUAUUUUUUGAUAAAUUAAAAGAUUUUUUUGCUAGAUCACCAACAUUUGCAAAUGGAACUCGGAUUUUUAACCUUGAUGAAACUGAAACUAUUACCGUGCAGAACCCACAAAAGGUUCUUGCAAAGAAAGGUGUGAAGAGUGUCUACAAAGUCACAAGUUCUGAAAGAGGAACCCUUGUCACAACUUGUAUAAUCCUUCUGGACAAUAUCUUCCACGAGUAAUUAUUUUUCCAAGAGUGCAUUUCAAGCAGCAUAUGUUGUCAAGAGCUACUUCUGGAUCUCUCGGACUUGCAUGUAAAACAGGCUGGAUGAACGGUGAACUUUUUUUAGAUGUUAUGAAUCACUUUAUCAAGUUCUCGUCAAGUACGAAAGAAAAUCCAUCAUUAUUAAUAUAUGACAAUUUCGAAGCGCACUUAUCUACAGCAGUGUUAAAUUUAGCAAAGGAGCAUGCAGUGACCAUUUUGAUAUUACCGCCCCAUUCCACGCAUACGUUACAACCAUUUGAUGUGGGAGUUAUGGAACCAUUAAAAACUCCAUAUAAUGCAGCAAUUCAUGGAUGCUUUACAAUCCUGGAAAAACAUUUACAAAUUACCAAGUGGCUGCAUCUGUAGGGCUUGCUUUUCUGAAAGCCAUAACACCAUCUAACAUUGUAGCUGCUUUUAAAAAUACAGCUAUAUUUCCUUAUGACAGGAACGUGUUUACAGGUAUUGGUUUUAUGUGCAGCUCUGUGGCAAACAGAACUUUUGAUGUAAUCAAUACUUGCAUAAAAAAUCACGUAAGCAUAACUUCUGAUAAUUUUUUUAACCCACAUGUUUCACCAAAUGCAGACCCCGCUACCUCUACUACUACAGAUACAAACAAACUAGUUACCAAUCAUACCAUGGUGGAUCUGUCUACAUCAUCAGAUUCUUUUAUCAGCCCUAAACAAUUCAGAGGUUUUCCGAAAUCUGGAAAAAAAACUGUAAAAGAAGGGAAAGGAAGAAGGGUUGCUCUAUGAUUGCCACAGACACUCCUGAGAGAAAUCGGAUCGAGAAAAGGCUCUGCAAUAGAAAGUUAGUCAAACUUACAAAAGAAUUAGAAGCAAAUUUACAGAAUACUAACAAAAAAUUACUCAAAAAGAUGAUCCUGUAUUGGACCAUUUGACAACCAAAAUGAAAAAGGUUUAAUAAUUCAGAAGGUGAUUUUGUGCUUGUGAUAUAUAUCCUAAAGAAGAUGACUUUGUAUUGGUUAAAUUUGGAACAACAACAAAAAAAUUGUUUUAUGUUGAAAGAAGAAGUUACAAUCAGUUUUCUUCGGAAAAAAGGUGAUUACUAUCCCUAGAAUGGAUAUUAAAUUAUUACUACCUCGGCCAACUUUUUCUGGAACAAAUAAAAGGCAGCAUUGUCAUUACAAAUUUGAGAAAAGACUUAUGAUGUCAAUAUAUGUUACGCUCCUGAGGAUAGAGAAUGGGUCAUUAACACACUUGUGUUUAAGCUUGAAAGAGCAGGGAUUAAAACAUUUGUUAAUAUUAGAGAUGAUACUCCUGGAAAUUU